CCUACGGGUGGCAGCAGUGGGGAAUAUUGCACAAUGGGGGAAACCCUGAUGCAGCAACGCCGCGUGGGUGAAGGAGCUUUUCGGCGCGUAAAGCCCUGUCAGCGGGGAAGAAGAAAGCCGGUACCCGACCCAGCCGCCCCGGCUAAAUACGUGCCAGCAGCCGCGGUAAUACGUAGGGGGCGAGCGUUAUCCGGAAUUACUGGGUGUACAGGGAGCGUAGACGGCGAGGUAAGCCUGAAGUGGAAGCCCGCGGCCCAACCGCGGAACUGCUUUGGGAACUGUUUUGCUGGAGUAUGGGAGGGGUAAGCGGAAUUCCUAGUGUAGCGGUGAAAUGCGUAGAUAUUAGGAGGAACACCAGUGGCGAAGGCGGCCUGCUGGACUGUAACUGACGUGGAGGCUCGAAAGCGUGGGGAGCAAACAGGAUUAGAUACCCCGGUAGUC
rnacentral:rRNA from 1 species